rnacentral:misc_RNA from 1 species
UCCGAGUUGACCCCGGCAGUCUCCUGCGAGUCCCCGCCAUUACGCGCUGGCAACACAGGACAAGGGUUGCGCUCGUUGCGGGACUUAACCCAACAUCUCACGACACGAGCUGACGACAGCCAUGCACCACCUGUCACCCAGUCCGAAGAGGGCCUUGUCUCCAAGGCUUUCCGGGUGAUGUCAAACCCAGGUAAGGUUCUUCGCGUUGCAUCGAAUUAAUCCGCAUGCUCCGCCGCUUGUGCGGGCCCCCGUCAAUUCCUUUGAGUUUCAACCUUGCGGUCGUACUCCCCAGGUGGAUUACUUAACGCUUUCGCUUUGCCGCUGAACAGUGUAUCGCCAACAGCUAGUAAUCAUCGUUUACAGCGUGGACUAC